GCCCGGAUGGGUUUAGCAACCUAUUUUAUAAAACAUUUAAAGAUUUAAUAUGUCCACAUUUGACCUCUGCUUUUAACAUAGCGGCAAACAGAGGAUUUUUACCAGCAGAGAUGCUAAAAGCUAAUAUCUUGCCUAUUUUAAAAAAUGAUAAAAACCCCACUGAUAUCAAAAACUACCGUCCGAUAUCUUUAAUAGAUGUUGACA